GUAACCAUUUUUGUGAAAAGAAUGUAAUAGGAACUCUUCUGUGAUUGGAGGAUAUCGAUCAACAUUCAACGUGGUGUGUUUCUGACCAAGUGAUUGGACUUCUUGGAGCUCACACUUGAAAUUCACCCGACUAUUUAUAUUGUCAUCCCUGGUGUUCAACCAUAAUUCUGCACGCUUAUACCGUCAAUUGCUCUCGUUAAUCAGAAACACCACUUGUUCUCAUCCAUACCAGAAUGGUUUUUACCGUGAGAGUGAAAUGUAAAGACGGACAUCUUAAAGAACAUUUCAAGGUGGAAAACAAAGAAGAAGCGGAGCAACUGGCAAAAGGAAAUGCCCAUUGUACUGAGCAUGAGGGAGGAUGCAAGAAAAUAACUCUAGUUACGAAGAGCGACAAAGAUAAAUUGAGACAGCAGUUUGACCUCACAUGCAAAAUUUUAACAGCUGAUUAAAUGUGAAAUUUAGAAAUUAAAAAAUCGGAAAAAUAGUUAAAACUAAUAAAGAAAAACCCGAAAAAAUAUUUUUCUAGUAUUACUAAUUAUGAGUAUUUUUAAUGGUUCAUACCAUUAACUGUCUAAAUGAAUAAUUAAUUGUUUGAAAAUGUUGAUUGUUAUGUUGAUUUGUGCUUCAGUCUUCAUUAUAUUUGAUUUAUAUAUGUUUAUCUUUAA